rnacentral:rRNA from 1 species
UGACCUAGCGGCGGACGGGUGAGUAAUGCUUAGGAAUCUGCCUAUUAGUGGGGGACAACAUUCCGAAAGGAAUGCUAAUACCGCAUACGCCCUACGGGGGAAAGCAGGGGAUCUUCGGACCUUGCGCUAAUAGAUGAGCCUAAGUCAGAUUAGCUAGUUGGUGGGGUAAAGGCCUACCAAGGCGACGAUCUGUAGCGGGUCUGAGAGGAUGAUCCGCCACACUGGGACUGAGACACGGCCCAGACUCCUACGGGAGGCAGCAGUGGGGAAUAUUGGACAAUGGGCGAAAGCCUGAUCCAGCCAUGCCGCGUGUGUGAAGAAGGCCUUUUGGUUGUAAAGCACUUUAAGCGAGGAGGAGGCUACNNNGAUUAAUACUCUUGGAUAGUGGACGUUACUCGCAGAAUAAGCACCGGCUAACUCUGUGCCAGCAGCCGCGGUAAUACAGAGGGUGCGAGCGUUAAUCGGAUUUACUGGGCGUAAAGCGUGCGUAGGCGGCUUUUUAAGUCGGAUGUGAAAUCCCUGAGCUUAACUUAGGAAUUGCAUUCGAUACUGGGAAGCUAGAGUAUGGGAGAGGAUGGUAGAAUUCCAGGUGUAGCGGUGAAAUGCGUAGAGAUCUGGAGGAAUACCGAUGGCGAAGGCAGCCAUCUGGCCUAAUACUGACGCUGAGGUACGAAAGCAUGGGGAGCAAACAGGAUUAGAUACCCUGGUAGUCCAUGCCGUAAACGAUGUCUACUAG